UACGUAGGGUGCGAGCGUUAAUCGGAAUUACUGGGCGUAAAGCGUGCGCAGGCGGUUUGCUAAGACCGAUGUAAAAUCCCCGGGCUUAACCUGGGACUGCAUUGGUGACUGGCAGGCUAGAGUAUGGCAGAGGGGGGUAGAAUUCCACGUGUAGCAGUGAAAUGCGUAGAGAUGUGGAGGAAUACCGAUGGCGAAGGCAGCCCCCUGGGCCAAUACUGACGCUCAUGCACGAAAGCGUGGGGAGCAAACAGG
rnacentral:rRNA from 1 species